CGUAUAAAUAAGGUGCAAACUGGCUGACACUUGGACUAAACACACUUUGAUUUACUGAAGCAUAAACAUAAAUUUUGGAAGAAAUGUAUUUUUGAUCAAAAAUAUAACAGUCAGUUGAGAAACAUAAUGAAAAGUUGACAUAAAUAAAAAAUAUAUACAAAUGUUUAUAAACUGAAAUUACAUAAGUCAAAUAAUGUUUACUAAGUCGUUAGAUAGCUAGAAGAGAAUGAGAAGAUAUAAUCCAAUUAACCACUCUACAAUCGGCUAUCAUAAGAAAAUAUAUUUUCUACAACGUCAACGCUUUGAUACCCUAUGCCAAAAUAAUCAAUCAAAAAGGAAUAUUUUUGUAUAAGCUUCACAAACGUAUGCAUACUGCUGCUUUCUGCUCGAGUAAAUGCAUAUUUACGCAUACAUUUAUGCAUUUGAGAGAGCGGAGAGCGCAAGUAAAACAAAAUAGCUGCUGCGGACAUAUGACCUCUCGCUUGAUCACACUUCGCCUUGUACCUCUCAACUGGCAUAGUCUGAUUGCGAGCGCGGAAGAGUGAAAGAGAGACAUCAAGAGAGUGAUGGAGCUGAGCAAUUAUGAAGAGCAAAUAUUUGUGUAAUAUGUGUUGUAUGGAUGCUUAACGGUACUAAGCUCUUACAGUUAGUUUGCCAAACAACUGUCAAAAAGAGAGUUUACUAAGAAUUGCAAGACUGAAAUAUAUUUAAGAAUGUAAACUCAACAUUUCGCUACUCACAUAGCCAUAAGUAUAGCUCAUUCAGCUACGUUCUGAGCCCGAAGUGUUAAUGUGAAUGCUUAAAGAAACGACCCAGUCAGUGGCUCCUGGCAUCCGUUGGCUGGCAAAGGCAAAGGCAAAGGCAAAUCGAAACGAUUGCGAGCAAGUAAAUAGCUAAAGAUUUAUCUAGCUGCGUUGAGCGUUGAGAAUAACAGCCAUAGGAACGAGACAAAGCCAGCUCCUGAGGCGUGUUUGGCAAACGAACACAGAGAACAACAAGAAAUAAAACCAAAAAAGAAAAGCAUCAACAACGCUGCCACCCACUUGGACUGUUAACUGCAUUCCAUUUAUUUUCGGCAGUGCAAGUGCCAGUGGCGAAGCUUCAGCAACUCCUACAUUCGCCUUGGCUGAAGAAGUGGCUGCUGCUCCAUAAAGCUCGCUUUUAUGCAGCACUUAAAUUUAUGUUACACUCGAGAUUCCACUGCUUAAAGGUAUCGUUUGGCGGAGCUGUUACUGUUUGGCCUGCUUAUCGAGUCUCCAGUUGCUGAGUCUGAGAGAUCUCGGCUUUCAAGUUUUUUGAGGGAUGGCUGUCAAAAUGUUUUACGCUACUUUUAUGGUCCACUCUUCACGGUCUUAAUGCGUUUAGGAUGCCAAAAAUCAAAGGCAGCAGCUCCCACACGCGAAACGUACUCAAAUUGUUGCUCAGCUUUGGGGGCAGGUGACUGUCGGGGCCUUGGGCUUUAAGGUCAGCUGCAGUUCAUGAAUUAUGCACGGAUUGCACUCGGGGAUUGCAGCUUGGCUGCUGCACAAAAUGAAAACUUUGACCCCAGC